rnacentral:rRNA from 1 species
UUCCGUAGGUGGACCUGCGGAAGGAUCAUUG